CUCGACGUCCGGAGAACGCU
rnacentral:snRNA from 1 species